rnacentral:snoRNA from 1 species
AGCCUCCUGCUACUUUCUUAUACUGUGUAGAAAGAGGAGGCAAAGUAAACCUACCCCCACAUACACCUCAGCCCAGGCCACUGUGCUGUGAAUGGAAAAACAUGG